ensembl:lncRNA
GUCGCUGAAGAGGUAAAAGUUCAGCCUGAAGAGAAGAAGGCCGAAAAGAAGGCAGAGCCGGAGCCUCCUAAAAUCAAGCCAAAGGAGCCAGAAAAGCCCAAGGAGGAAGUGCGUAAACCAGAGCCAGAGGUGAAGAAACCUGAGGUGAAGAAACCUGAGGUGAAGAAGCCUGAGGUGAAGGCCCCAGAGCCAGAGACCAAACCAGAGCCUGCCCCUGCUCCAAAGGAACCUCCAAAGAAAGCCCCUGUUGAGGAGAAGAAGCAAACUACACCAAAAAUCAAAGAAGCAGUAGUAGAGCCACUUGCUCCACAAGAAGAUCAAACUAAGGGACCUGUCCAAGCACCAGGAGGAGUCAAGAAAG